CCGUACAAUCACCGAAGUUAAGCAUCGUCGAGCCUGCUCAGUACCUAGAUGGGAGACCGCUUGGUAAUACCAGGUGCCGUAA